CACACACAACAGAAAUCCCUCCUACCCCACCAUUCCCCUGCCAUACUGGAUCUACUACCCCAAUAUGUAUCCACCUUGUAUUCAUACAUCAGUCGAUGCAAAGCACAGGUUUGUGCGUAAAUGAAAGAGACAAAUAUUUUACCUAUACACAGAUUUAUCUGCUGAAAUUUUUUCUACGCAAGAUAUAAAUGGCUACCAGAUAUCAAAGAAUUUGUUUACAGAUCCCCUAACAGUAUACCUGAUCUUCUCCAAAUGAAUGUAAGACAUAACCUCUCUUAACCAGUGUCCCUAUACUGGAGGAUGUGGAUCCUUCCAUCGAAGAAGAAUGAGUCUUCUAGCCAGUAGAGAGCAGAAAGCUAACACAGUCCUCUGAUGUUUGCUGAAGGAAGCCUCUGCUGGAGCCACCCCAAAGAGAGAGACUUACACAUCAGAAUCUCAUCUAUAAGAGAAGUUGGAGGACGAAGAGGAAAACAUCCAGAGUUCGACAUUACAAAAUGUCUCAAUUGAUAGAGGCAGGGAUGCCCAUGUAGCGAUGUCCUUCCAAAGGUUCACCAGGAGAGGCAGUUUGCUGUAUAGAGAUCUUUGUGACUGUGAGUAAACCAAAUACCAAAGUAUUUAAAUUUGACAGAACUGAUUUUGAAAGGAACUGGGCCYAUAUGAUGCUCUUCUAUUGGGGUCACAGGCAUCAAUUCACUUUUUUGAAGGUUAACCUUAUAGCCAGAUAUGUUUCCAAACCUCUGAAAUAAAAUAAGUAACUCAGGGAUACUAGACAAGGGAUCUGAAAUAUAAAGAAGUGUAUCAUCAGCGUAUA